rnacentral:rRNA from 1 species
UACGUAGGGUGCAAGCGUUAUCCGGAAUUAUUGGGCGUAAAGAGCUCGUAGGCGGUUUGUCGCGUCUGCUGUGAAAACUGGAGGCUCAACCUCCAGCCUGCAGUGGGUACGGGCAAACUAGAGUGCGGUAGGGGAGAUUGGAAUUCCUGGCGUAGCGGUGGAAUGCGCAGAUAUCAGGAGGAACACCGAUGGCGAAGGCAGAUCUCUGGGCCGUAACUGACGCUGAGGAGCGAAAGCAUGGGGAGCGAACAGG